GUUUCGACUAGCUUUCAAUGACGCUACUAAGUAAUACAAAACUAUAUAUACAAGAUCAAAUGAAAUAUGAUAUCUGUUAGUUAAAAAUUAUGAGUUCCUUAGAGGCUUUAUAUCCAUGGUUAAGUUCCGGUCACUGGCGAUGAAUAUAUAGAGAUUCUUUGAAAAGUAAUAAAGAUCAAUGUCAGGAUUUGUCUAAUAUCCUACAGUUGAAAGUGAAGUCGUCUAGAUUAAAUAGUGUAUGAGGAAGAUUAAAUAACGUUCUAUAACACAUGAAGUGUUCGCAUGAAUUUAUGUGUUUGUAAAUCUCUGAUUCUUUACUGCGGGCAUGCUCUUUUAGCCUUGUCAUCAGACAGUGAUCUGUCUUUCCGAUGUAUGAAGCUUGACAUCCAGGGCGGGCAACACAUUGCUUAACAAAAUAUAUCUUAGGCGAGAGGUCUACAUCAUCUUGCCUGGUCAUAUGAGCUGGACUGACCCGUGCUGAUUCGUUUCUUUCCCAACUAACAGUAUCUUCAAGAUCGUUAGGUG